rnacentral:rRNA from 1 species
CCUACGGGAGGCAGCAGUGGGGAAUAUUGGGCAAUGGGCGCAAGCCUGACCCAGCAACGCCGCGUGAAGGAAGAAGGCUUUCGGGUUGUAAACUUCUUUUCUCAGGGACGAAGCAAGUGACGGUACCUGAGGAAUAAGCCACGGCUAACUACGUGCCAGCAGCCGCGGUAAUACGGAGGUGGCAAGCGUUAUCCGGAUUUACUGGGUGGAAAGGGCGUGGAGGCGGGAAAGCAAGUCAGAUGUGAAAACCAUGGGCUCAACCUGUGGACUGCAUUUGAAACUGUUUGUCUUGAGUACUGGAGAGGCAGACGGAAUUCCUGGUGUAGCGGUGAAAUGCGUAGAUAUUAGGAGGAACACCAGUGGCGAAGGCGGUCUGCUGGACAGCAACUGACGCUGAGGCGCGAAAGCGUGGGGAGCAAACAGGAUUAGAUACCCCAGUAGUC